UACGUAGGCAGCGAGCGUUGUUCGGAAUUACUGGGCGUAAAGAGUGUGUAGGCGGUGCUCUAAGUUCGGUGUGAAAUCUCCUGGCUCAACUGGGAGGGUGCGCCGGAAACUGGAGUGCUUGAGCGUGGGAGAGGAAAGCGGAAUUCCUGGUGUAGCGGUGAAAUGCGUAGAUAUCGGGAGGAACACCUGUGGCGAAAGCGGCGCACUGGACCACAACUGACGCUGAGGCGCGAAAGCUAAGGGAGCAAACAGG
rnacentral:rRNA from 1 species